rnacentral:rRNA from 1 species
AACGAACGCUGGCGGCAUGCCUAACACAUGCAAGUCGAACGAGACCUUCGGGUCUAGUGGCGCACGGGUGCGUAACGCGUGGGAACCUGCCCUUAGGUUCGGAAUAACUCCCCGAAAGGGGUGCUAAUACCGGAUGUGGUCUUCGGACCAAAGAUUUAUCGCCUUUGGAUGGGCCCGCGUUGGAUUAGCUAGUUGGUAGGGUAAAAGCCUACCAAGGCGACGAUCCAUAGCUGGUCUGAGAGGAUGAUCAGCCACACUGGGACUGAGACACGGCCCAGACUCCUACGGGAGGCAGCAGUGGGGAAUAUUGGACAAUGGGCGAAAGCCUGAUGCAGCAAUGCCGCGUGAGUGAUGAAGGCCUUAGGGUUGUAAAGCUCCUUUACCGGGGAUGAUAAUGACGGUACCGGGAGAAUAAGCCCCGGCUAACUCCGUG